UGCUAGUGUUAGGGGGUUUCCGCCCCUUAGUGCUGCAGCUAACGCAUUAAGCACUCCGCCUGGGGAGUACGACCGCAAGGUUGAAACUCAAAGGAAUUGACGGGGACCCGCACAAGCGGUGGAGCAUGUGGUUUAAUUCAAAGCAACGCGAAGAACCUUACCAAAUCUUGACAUCCUUUGACAACUCUAGAGAUAGAGCCUUCCCCUUCGGGGGACAAAGUGACAGGUGGUGCAUGGUUGUCGUCAGCUCGUGUCGUGAGAUGUUGGGUUAAGUCCCGCAACGAGCGCAACCCUUAAGCUUAGUUGCCAUCAUUAAGUUGGGCACUCUAAGUUGACUGCCGGUGACAAACCGGAGGAAGGUGGGGAUGACGUCAAAUCAUCAUGCCCCUUAUGAUUUGGGCUACACACGUGCUACAAUGGACAAUACAAAGGGCAGCGAAACCGCGAGGUCAAGCAAAUCCCAUAAAGUUGUUCUCAGUUCGGAUUGUAGUCUGCAACUCGACUACAUGAAGCUGGAAUCGCUAGUAAUCGUAGAUCAGCAUGCUACGGUGAAUACGUUCCCGGGUCUUGUACACACCGCCCGUCACACCACGAGAGUUUGUAACACCCGAAGCCGGUGGAGUAACCAUUUGGAGCUAGCCGUCGAAGGUGGGACAAAUGAUUGGGGUG
rnacentral:rRNA from 1 species